GUAGUCAUAUGCUUGUCUCAAAGAUUAAGCCAUGCAUGUCUAAGUAUAAGCACUCUAUACUGUGAAACUGCGAAUGGCUCAUUAAAUCAGUUAUCGUUUAUUUGAUAGUACCUUGCUACAUGGAUACCUGUGGUAAUUCUAGAGCUAAUACAUGCUAAAAACCCCGACUUCGGGAGGGGUGUAUUUAUUAGAUAAAAAACCAAUGCCCCUCGGGGCUCCUUGGUGAUUCAUAAUAACUUAACGAAUCGCAUGGCCUUGCGCCGGCGAUGGUUCAUUCAAAUUUCUGCCCUAUCAACUUUCGAUGGUAGGAUAGUGGCCUACCAUGGUGGCAACGGGUAACGGGGAAU
rnacentral:rRNA from 2 species